rnacentral:rRNA from 1 species
ACGCUCGACACCUACGGGUGGCAGCAGUGGGGAAUAUUGCACAAUGGGGGAAACCCUGAUGCAGCGACGCCGCGUGAGCGAAGAAGUAUUUCGGUAUGUAAAGCUCUAUCAGCAGGGAAGAAACUGACGGUACCUGACUAAGAAGCACCGGCUAAAUACGCGCCAGCAGCCGCGGUAAUCUGAGCGGGCUGGCAAGGC